AUUGAACGCUGGCGGCAGGCUUAACACAUGCAAGUCGAGCGGGGAAAGGUAGCUUGCUCCCUGACCUAGCGGCGGACGGGUGAGUAAUGCUUAGGAAUCUGCCUAUUAGUGGGGGACAACAUCUCGAAAGGGAUGCUAAUACCGCAUACGUCCUACGGGAGAAAGCAGGGGACCUUCGGGCCUUGCGCUAAUAGAUGAGCCUAAGUCGGAUUAGCUAGUUGGUGGGGUAAAGGCCUACCAAGGCGACGAUCUGUAGCGGGUCUGAGAGGAUGAUCCGCCACACUGGGACUGAGACACGGCCCAGACUCCUACGGGAGGCAGCAGUGGGGAAUAUUGGACAAUGGGGGGAACCCUGAUCCAGCCAUGCCGCGGGUGUGAAGAAGGCCUUUUGGUUGUAAAGCACGUUAAGCGAGGAGGAGGCUACCGAGAUUAAUACUCUUGGAUAGUGGACGUUACUCGCAGAAUAAGCACCGGCUAACUCUGUG
rnacentral:rRNA from 1 species